UACGAAGGGGGCGAGCGUUGCCCGGAAUCACUGGGCGUAAAGCGCACGUAGGCGGCUUUCUAAGUCAGGGGUGAAAUCCUGGAGCUCAACUCCAGAACUGCCUUUGAUACUGGAGAGCUUGAGUUCGGGAGAGGUGAGUGGAACUGCGAGUGUAGAGGUGAAAUUCGUAGAUAUUCGCAAGAACACCAGUGGCGAAGGCGGCUCACUGGCCCGAUACUGACGCUGAGGUGCGAAAGCGUGGGGAGCAAACAGG
rnacentral:rRNA from 1 species